AUUGAACGCUGGCGGCAGGCUUAACACAUGCAAGUCGAGCGGGGACUUCGGUCCUAGCGGCGAACGGGUGAGGAAUGCUUGGGAAUCUGCCUGGUAGUGGGGGAUAACGUUUCGAAAGGAACGCUAAUACCGCAUACGUCCUACGGGAGAAAGGGGGGGAUCUUCGGACCUCUCGCUAUCAGAUGGGCCCAAGUCGGUCUAGCUAGUUGGUGAGGUAAAGGCUCACCAAGUCGACGAUCCGUACCUGGGCUGAGAGGAUGUUCAGCCACACUGGAACUGAGACACGGUCCAGACUCCUACGGGAGGCAGCAGUGGGGAAUAUUGGACAAUGGGCGAAAGCCUGAUCCAGCCAUGCCGCGUGUGUGAAGAAGGCCUUCGGGUUGUAAAGCACUUUAAGCGAGGAGGAAUGGCUCUGGGUUAAUACCCUUGAGCAGUGACGUUACUCGCAGAAUAAGCACCGGCUAACUCUGUGCCAGCCGCCGCAGUAACAC
rnacentral:rRNA from 1 species